rfam:Pristionchus pacificus strain PS312 contig8140, whole genome shotgun sequence.
UCUUCAUCUCGCACACUCUCUCACCGGGGCAGAGAGGCGAGAGAGUGUGCGAAAUGAAGAGA